CCCAUUUAAUUUUGUUUUUUCUUAUAUCAAUUCAUUUUCAUAGAAAUCAAACACAAAUAGAUUUAUAUGACCAAUAUAGCAUAUUCAACACAUAUUACCAAUAGUCAUGAACACAUAUGUAUCCAACACAUGUUACCAAUAGUAGCAAGUUUCAUCCGUACAUAUACAUAGUUUCAUCAAUAUUACACAGUUUCAUCCAUAGGUAGCAAGUUUCACAAGGUCAAAACAAAAACUCGACCAUAACGAGGACCAUAACGUAGUCGUUGGCCCAACUCGGCUGCACCACACCGAGGCACUAUUGUUCCAUCGAGCUCGACCAUGUGCGGGGCUUCGUCAUCGUCAUGGAGGUCCCGGUGGUCGUCCUGGUCCCUAGAAAGUGCACCUUAUUAUUUCAUUUCAGAGAAAGCGUGAAACACGAAUGGCAUGUAUGUAGAUCCCCAGGACAAGCAAACUUAGCUAGUAAAUAUGAACAAGGACUACUAUAGCAUAGGAUGUAAGUACUGGUGACUACUAGACCUAUAUUAAAAGUAAACAGAACUAGCUCGGAUAACAACUCUAUAGCACUAAUGUUGAUGCAUUCAAGUUACUACCAUUCAAGUAUGCAUACAUAUCAUAAUGUUCCAAGUAUGCAUACAUAUCAUACACAUCAGUGACGUUAACUUGUUCAUAAGAUUCAUAACACUAAGUGCCAAAUCCAUUGAUUUGUAUAAGAAGGUGCCAUAUCCAUUAAUUCACAUGCAAAGGCAAAGAGUGCUGCUGAAAUUAACAAUGCGUGCUUCAUCAAAUUUUCUUAAUUAACAGUGCCAAGUUAAUAAGUGCCUUGCUUGUGUAGAUCCAUUAAUUCAUGUUAAUCAGGAAACAAUGCACCCAAAUCACAAAAUCAAAACACGCAAUGUUAAAAUACAUGGACAAAGUGCCAACAUAUGAUAUGAUUUUCUUGAACUGUGCAAGCAGCAUCACAGAUAACUCUUAUGAACAUAUGAACCUGUGCCAAAUACAAUAUAUGAAUAAAGUGCGAAGCAACAUCAUGGGCAAAAAUUACAAAAAAACAUGGUGGAAUAGAGGGGAUGGGGAGAAGCAAAGCCUCACUGGAUGUUAAGGAGGAGCACGAGGAAGUGGUGCCGCAGGCCCCGCACUGACGGCGGGCGGGCGGGCGGCCUCCAGGCCAGGGGGUUGCCAGUGAGAUCCAGGAGGAUGGUCAGGUCGCCGUCGGGCGUCGGCCUGCUCCCUCCUCUUCUCUUGCCCUGCUCAUUCCAUCCUCGUCUGGGAGGCCGAGGACGCGUUGAUCAUGGUCAUGGCGGUUGACGGUCCAGAUCUGGAAAAAGGUAAGAGAGGUGAGGGAAAUUGGAAGCUGAAACAAACAGUUUUUCCUUCAAGUAGAAACUUCUUUUUUGCCUUCAUUACCUCACAGAUUCAAAUACAAAGGUAGGCACCCUGACUCGAUGUUAACCACAACAUGCCUCCUCACAACACAAGCAAAACCAACUCAUCAGACCUGCAAUCAGGAUAACAACAUAUCAUUCAGAGUUCAAACCGAGUAAACAAACAUAAGUAGCAGGCACUAGGGCAUCCAAAGUUUAACUAUGUCAAGAGCUAAAAACAAUCAGCACGUCAUAUAUGGCAAUCUGCAAGAGCUAAAACAAGAGCCAAAUAGAGAGGCCAAGCCUUUCUCCCUUACAAGACAGUGUCGUAAAAUGACCAAGAACAAAUACCGUCUGAUUCCAAAAUAAAGAUGUGAGAGUCUACAUCAAUUAUAAAUUCAAAGUGAACAUUUUAUCAAAGAAACUCAACUAGCAGAACUCAUGUAAGCCCAUAUACUCGUGUUGUUUUUACUUGUCAUGUAGAAACAGCAUGAACAUCACUACUUAAAGCAUAUCAGCAAACAAUCACAUUGCAAUAUGUGUGUAGAAAGUGCAUGCAAACUACAUAAAUAGAUCUAACUAUCAUAUAAGCUAGUGAUAUAUUCCUACACAAACAUCUCAUAUGAGAUACUAACUAGGAGUAAUUCUUUUAUCCUGUCAAAACUGUAGCUGCUACACAAUCAGCACUACACUUCCAUAUUUAUCUCAAAAUUAGAGAUAAUGAUCUAGUUAAUAUCAUGUGCAGUUCUGUAAAUCUCAACGAGACAAGUGCAGCCAGAAGUUUCAGUUUUAAUACACACAAGGGGCCUUAUUCUGCAGUUCAAUAACUUGGUGAGAUUCUUUUAAAUUGCUGCCGAUAACUACUAGGAGUAAUAGUGAGGCUGCAUUGUCAAUAUAACCAUGCACACAAGGACCACCCCACCAGAUGUAUAUGUCCAAGUUUGCAUAUAGAAGUAAAAAGAGGAUGUUGAGAAGAAGGUCUGAGCGAGAGACUCUCUUUUCUCCUCAGUGAGCUCAGUUUUAAAAAAAGAGGUAUGUGGUUCUCUUUUUUAUGCAGAGAAAAUAUUGUAGUUUGCAAAAAACUGCAGUAUUAAAAUCACAGUUUUUAGAGACAAUCAAACAAACCUUUGUAAUAAAAACCACAGUAUUAUAAAAAGCUGCAGUAUUCUAAGAAUACUUCGAAAAUACUUUGUUAUCAAACGGGGCCUCAGCUACCUAGCCAUUAGCAGUGCAAGCACACGCCUGCUGGCCGGAGCUGAUCAACAUGCUCAGCUAGCUAACAUACGGGCCAUCCCAUCAGGAGUCCGGAGGAAGAAACAACCAGCUCAUAUGUCCCUCUCACUCCUUCCCGCCGGCUGAGCCGAGCUGAGCCACCGUUCCAUGCACUCGCAGCCCCACCCCAUACUAAGGCCCCGUUUGAUAGCACAGUAUUUUCAAAGUAUUCUAACAAUACUGUAGUUUCGUUUAAUACUAAAGUUUUAAUUACAGUGAGGUGUUUGGUUACCCAUAAAAAUUGCAGUGUUAAUACUAUGUUAUUCUCAAAACCUAUGCCAUCAAAUGAUCAAACUGGAGCUGAUAUUAAUUUGGUUUAGUCAAGAAAAGAGACUUGAGUUUCCAUAAGGAAAACACAUGUUACUACUAUGUACUUUGUAAGAAGUGGACCUUGAAAGUAGGUAUCGUCAGAAUCAGAUAGGAACAAACUGUAAUUUCAGACGCAUUAUUAUACUUAUUCGUGCACUCUUCUUUCCCUAGUCCCAAGCCUUACUGAAUCUGAAAUAUUUCUAGAACCUGAAUCUGAAUUAUCUCCCAGGUUUCUGAAUCAAAAUGAUUCUAUCUUAGUUGGAAAUCGAUAUUUUUCUUGUUGUUGCGGUGGGGUUGGAAAUCGAUCUCGUGAGAGAGUAAUAAUAACAAGUGAAGCUCUGAAACGAUGGAACUUUGUAGAGAUACGAUACGGAAGGGGAGAGGCGUUGGUACCGUACCGUAUGUAUAGAGGAUGGGGUCAGUGGACGACGGAUCUGGUGAUGAAGCAGCCCGGUGGGAAGGGAAUCCGGAGGAAAACGAUGCCCUCCGCCAGCCUAUGUAUGCAUCUGGACCGAGACGCGCCCGACCGAUACCGAUGCCGCGGGAAGGGGGCGACGCCGUGGCCUGGCUCGGUGGAGGGGCGGGCUGCGGUGGCGGGGAGGGCCGCGGGGCACGCCGCGGUGGCCGGGAGGGCCGCGGUGGCCGGGAGGGCCGCGGGGAGGGGGCGGCGCCGCGGCCUGGAACGGUGGAGGGACGGGCGCAGGGGCGGGCUGCGGUGGCGGGGAG
rnacentral:lncRNA from 1 species